UACGUAGGGGGCAAGCGUUGUCCGGAUUUAUUGGGCGUAAAGAGCUCGUAGGCGGUUUGGUAAGUCAGGUGUGAAAUCUCCACGCUCAACGUGGAGGGGCCACCUGAUACUGCCAUGACUGGAGUCCGGUAGAGGAGUGUGGAAUUCCCGGUGUAGCGGUGAAAUGCGCAGAUAUCGGGAGGAACACCGGUGGCGAAGGCGGUUCUCUGGGCCUGUACUGACGCUGAGGAGCGAAAGCGUGGGGAGCGAACAGG
rnacentral:rRNA from 1 species